rnacentral:rRNA from 2 species
AAACCAACAGGGAUUGCCCUAGUAACGGCGAGUGAAGCGGCAACAGCUCAAAUUUGAAAUCUGGCCCUCGGGUCCGAGUUGUAAUUUGUAGAGGAUGCUUUUGGCGCGGUGCCUUCCGAGUUCCCUGGAACGGGACGCCUUAGAGGGUGAGAGCCCCGUAUGGUUGGACACCAAGCCUCUGUAUAGCUCCUUCGACGAGUCGAGUAGUUUGGGAAUGCUGCUCUAAAUGGGAGGUAAAUUUCUUCUAAAGCUAAAUAUUGGCCAGAGACCGAUAGCGCACAAGUAGAGUGAUCGAAAGAUGAAAAGCACUUUGAAAAGAGGGUUAAAUAGCACGUGAAAUUGUUGAAAGGGAAGCGUUUGCGACCAGACCUUUUCCUAGCGGAUCAGCUUGUGUUCAUCACUGGUGUACUUCGCUAGGUUUAGGCCAGCAUCGGUUUCUAUAGGGGGAUAAAAGCUCUGGGAAUGUGGCUCCUCCGGGAGUGUUAUAGCCCUCUGCAUAAUACCUUUAUGGGGACCGAGGACCGCGCUUCGGCAAGGAUGCUGGCGUAAUGGUCGUCAACGAC